UUUGUCUUUGUUCAUACAGUUCUUUUAACAUUUGUAAUUCUUUUUCUAAUUCAGCAAUUCUACUAUUUUUGGUUUCUUCUAUUUUUCGUAUUUCUUCCGUAGUUUGUUGUUUUAUUUUUUCUAUUUCUUUUUUCCUAUCUAUCUCUUCAUUUUCUUUUUCUAUUCUUACCAUUGCUGUUAAUUUAUCUUCUAAUUUUAAUUCUUCUUUUUCUAACAUUAGAUAUAAAUGUUCACCUAUUUUCUUAUAUCUUCGUCCUAGAUUAGAAAAUACUAUUUUUAUUUUUGAUCCUUCGUAGUUUUCAUAUAUUUUUUCAUCUAUUAUAAAUUCUUCUUUAUUCAUUUUAUUGUGAAUAGGUCAUGUUGAUAUAUAUAUUCUAAACUAUCUAUUUGUGAUUCUAAUUUUGAUAUUUCAUCUUUUUGUGUAUCUAUUGAAUUUUUACUAACUCCGGCAAAUAUAUUAUAAUGUAGUCGUUCUAUUCUUAUUUUUAAUUCUUUUCGUUUUUCAGAGAUAAUUUGUUUUAAUUCUUUAUAUCGUUGUAUUUUAUUCAUUUUAAAUUAUAUUUAUAAUAUCU
rnacentral:lncRNA from 1 species